rnacentral:rRNA from 1 species
UACGUAGGGGGCAAGCGUUGUCCGGAAUCAUUGGGCGUAAAGAGCUCGUAGGCGGUCUGUUGCGUCCGCUGUGAAAACUCGGGGCUUAACCCCGAGCCUGCAGUGGAUACGGGCAGACUAGAGGUAGGUAGGGGAGAAUGGAAUUCCCGGUGUAGCGGUGAAAUGCGCAGAUAUCGGGAGGAACACCGGUGGCGAAGGCGGUUCUCUGGACAGUUCCUGACGCUGAGGCACGAAGGCCAGGGGAGCAAACGGG